rnacentral:rRNA from 1 species
AUCAUUGCAAUUGUUGGUCUUCAACGAGGAAUGCCUAGUAAGCGCGAGUCAUCAGCUCGCGUUGACUACGUCCUGCCCUUUGUACACACCGCCCGUCGCUCCUACCGAUUGAAUGGUCCGGUGAAGUGUUCGGAUCGCGGCGACGGGGGCGGUUCGCCGCCCCCGACGUCGCGAGAAGUCCAUUGAACCUUAUCAUUUAGAGGAAGGAGAAGUCGUAACAAGGUUUCCGUAGGUGAACCUGCGGAAGGAUCAUUG